UACGAAGGGGGCUAGCGUUGUUCGGAAUUACUGGGCGUAAAGCGCGCGCAGGCGGUCUUCCACGUCAGUGGUGAAAGCCUGGAGCUCAACUCCAGAACUGCCAUUGAAACUGUUAGACUUGAGUACGAGAGAGGUGAGUGGAAUUCCCAGUGUAGAGGUGAAAUUCGUAGAUAUUGGGAAGAACACCAGUGGCGAAGGCGGCUCACUGGCUCGUAACUGACGCUCAGGCGCGACAGCGUGGGGAUCAAACAGG
rnacentral:rRNA from 1 species